UGUGCGUACAGCCACAUCCACAUGACGAGCCUAUUCGCUGCUAAUGAUCCCAUUCCCAUCUGAUGCUCAAAUACCAUCAAGCUGUGGAUCUGCUAAAGGCAGGAGCACAUAGCUUUGCAAGUCUUUUUUGAAUAGAUGAUUCUCCAGUUGCCUCUAGCGCCCUCACAUGCCUUUCUCCUCUGCUCCUUGGCUCUGGGACCUUCCGCUCGAAGCACAGAAGGAAGAUUCCAGGGCAGAAGUGCACCGUGCACUUGGAAGGGGUCGAAUUUAUGCAGAAUGCUGCCUGAGGAAAAGCUAAUGUGAUCUGUGAGUAUUCUUUGUAUAAAAGAAGUGAUGGCUGUAGGAGCUACAUUCAGACCUUGUGCAAUCAAUGGAUUUGCAUCCACUGACACUCAAAAAAGAGAAUAGUAAUUGGGGAGGGUCACAGGUAGAUAUUGUCAAAAGGGGAAGGAAGAGAGCACAGGGAUGGAGCAGUAGGAGAAGGAGGGUUGGGAAUGGCACCAGGUGGUGCCAAUGGAUCAGAAAGGGAGUCAGCAGUGAUAUGGGAAAUGUAUGGUAUUCUACAGACAGAAGCAGCAGGAAGGAAGGUAAAGGUAAGAAAGGGAAAGGACUGGCUCUGAACUGGGAGGGAAGUCACCCAAGGCAGGAGAAGGAUUAGGUGGGGACUCAUCGUAGACUGGGUAAUAAGUCUCCAAUGGGAAUGGCAUAUAGCAGAAUGGUGGGGAGGAAAACCCCAAGAGGAUGGGGGCGGAAACUGACAAGAACUCCAACAGUGAAAGGUGUAGGGCAGGAGUGGGUGGAGGUUGCAGACACAGCUACUGGGCAGUUUUAUAACACCUCAAAAUAAAGCAUCCGAUUCAAUGCAUCCCUCACAAUGAAGUCUGUUGAU